CCAUCCCGCGUGUGCGAUGAAGGCCUUCGGGUUGUAAAGCACUUAAGGCAGGAAAGAAACGUCGCGGGUUAAUACCCCGCGGAACUGACGGUACCUGCAGAAUAAGCACCGGCUAACUACGUGCCAGCAGCCGCGGUAAUACGUAGGGUGCAAGCGUUAAUCGGAAUUACUGGGCGUAAAGCGUGCGCAGGCGGUUCGGAAAGAAAGAUGUGAAAUCCCAGAGCUUAACUUUGGAACUGCAUUUUUAACUACCGAGCUAGAGUGUGUCAGAGGGAGGUGGAAUUCCGCGUGUAGCAGUGAAAUGCGUAGAUAUGCGGAGGAACACCGAUGGCGAAGGCAGCCUCCUGGGAUAACACUGACGCUCAUGCACGAAAGCGUGGGGAGCAAACAGGAUUAGAUACCCUGGUAGUCCACGCCCUAAACGAUGUCAACUAGCUGUUGGGGCCUUCGGGCCUUGGUAGCGCAGCUAACGCGUGAAGUUGACCGCCUGGGGAGUACGGUCGCAAGAUUAAAACUCAAAGGAAUUGACGGGGACCCGCACAAGCGGUGGAUGAUGUGGAUUAAUUCGAUGCAACGCGAAAAACCUUACCUACCCUUGACAUGUCUGGAAUGCCGAAAAGAUUUGGUAGUGCUCGCAAGAGAACCGGAACACAUGUGCUGCAUGGCUGU
rnacentral:rRNA from 1 species